rnacentral:sRNA from 1 species
GACUACUGUUGCACACCAGCAGUAGGGAUGACACUGUGUCAAGUACUAGAAGGGCUUUAAAGUUACACAGAAUGCCUUCGUACAGCUCAUAGUCCACACCGGCUUCUUUUGAUUUAUUAUUCAAUUCAAGAACUUGAAGACGUAGGUGUCAAAUUGCUUUCUGUAUUGCUAUAACAAAAUACUUGAGACUGGAAAUUUCUAAAGAACAGAAAUUUGUUUCUUGCUGUCACAGAGUCUGGGAAGGUUCAGCUGGCGAUGGUGCAGGUUCCGUGAGUGCCUUGAUUCCUUUGUUCUCCUAGGACACAGAUGCCUUUCCCUCGUGCAGUCAAAGAAAGAGAAGCUCUUUUAUAAGAGCAUGCGAUUCCACACAUGAGAAAAGAGUCCUCAUGACUGAUUCACUCCAAGAAGGUCCUACUUCGCAAUACUGCCAGAGCCUGGCCAUCAUCCAUUCCACUCAGACAGCACAUUGAGAGAGAUAAUAGAUGCUCGAUGUGGCAGAAUGGGUGACCAUCCUGUGGGCCACCUUUGUAUUGAAUUUUACAUCACUGCUAGGCGCAUUAGUAUAUAUGCUGCCUUUGACAUCAACUUGACACAAGCUGCAGUCAUCAGAGAGGAAUGAGGUUCAAUAGAGGACAUGUCUCCAUAAGGCUAACUUAAAACUCACAGUGUUGACCAAGAAGGCUUCAAAUUCAUGAUCUCCUUACCUGGCUACCCGAGUGCUGGGAUCCCAGGCAUGUAUCUGGCUCAGAACACACACUUUUUGAAGCAACUUAAGUGGCUGCACAUGGCCACGUGAAGCUUAUGGUGGUGCUGGUGAAGGUCUUACUAUGUAAAGCACCAUGCAAAGUUGUUGACAGAUCCUGAAAAGGAAUCCAGUUCCCAAGUCUUCCGAGGACCCAGCUAUACCACCCCUGGGCAUAUACCCAAAAGAUGCU